UAUCUCUGUAGAGUCUGCAUAUCAAUAAGCGGAGGAAAAGAAACUAACUAGGAUUCCCUUAGUAACGGCGAGUGAAGCGGGAAGAGCUCAAAUUUGAAAUCUUCAAGGUUCUACCUUGACGAAUUGUAGUUUAAAGAAGUGUUUUCUGUUGGAGUUUUGGUAAAAGUUCUUUGGAAUAGGACAUCAUAGAGGGUGAGAAUCCCGUAUUUGACCAUUAUUUCCAGCUGUGUGAUACACUUUCAAAGAGUCGGAUUGUUUGGGAAUGCAGUCCAAAAUGGGUGGUAAAUUUCAUCUAAAGCUAAAUAUUGGCGAGAGACCGAUAGCGAACAAGUACCGUGAGGGAAAGAUGAAAAGAACUUUGAAAAGAGAGUUAAACAGUACGUGAAAUUGUCAAAAGGGAAGCGUUUGACACCAGUGUUGUUUUCUCGAAAAUCAAUUAAAAAAUGGCUUGAUUUUGUGUUGUAUUGACCUUAAAAGCUUUCUUCACUCUUUUCUUGUCUUUUUUAAUGCACUUUUCGUUUAACAAGUCAACAUCAGUUUCUUUUGUUGUAAAAGGGUCAUUGGAAGGUGGCUUUCUUUUCGGAGAAAGUGUUUAUAGCCUUUGGCCUCUGCAAUCGGAGAGAUUGAGGUCUGCAGCGUAGAUCCUUCGGGGUUAGAUACAUUUGUGCUAAGUUAUAGCCUUUCAUAGACAACUUGUUGACUGUGAUCAGUCAUGUAGCUUACUCGCUUAUGCUAUUUUACCUACGCUUAGGAUGUUGAUGUGAUACUGCGAGCA
rnacentral:rRNA from 1 species